rnacentral:rRNA from 1 species
UAAGACGAACCGUGCAAACGUUAUUCGGAAUCACUGGGCUUAAAGGGCGCGUAGGCGGGUCCUCAAGUCAGGGGUGAAAUCCCACGGCUCAACCGUGGAAGUGCCUUUGAUACUGGGGGUCUCGAGGGAGGUAGGGGCGUGCGGAACUUCCGGUGGAGCGGUGAAAUGCGUAGAUAUCGGAAGGAACACCGGUGGCGAAAGCGGCGCGCUGGACCUCUUCUGACGCUGAGGCGCGAAAGCCAGGGGAGCAAACGGGAUUAGAUACCCCGGUAGUCCUGGCCCUAAACGUUGGGCACUGGGUAGUGGGCUUACAUGGGCUCACUGCCGAAGCAAAAGUGUUAAGUGCCCCGCCUGGGGAGUAUGGUCGCAAGGCUG